rnacentral:rRNA from 1 species
UACGAAGGGGGCUAGCGUUACUCGGAUUGACUGGGCGUAAAGGGCGCGUAGGCGGUUUGUACAGUCAGACGUGAAAUUCCUGGGCUCAACCUGGGGGCUGCGUUUGAUACGUGCAGACUUGAGUUCGGGAGAGGUGAGUGGAACUGCGAGUGUAGAGGUGAAAUUCGUAGAUAUUCGCAAGAACACCAGUGGCGAAGGCGGCUCACUGGCCCGAUACUGACGCUGAGGCACGAAAGCGUGGGGAGCAAACAGG